AAGCGUUGGCUAUUUCAUGUUGCCACUGUCAUUUCAUUUCACUUUGUUAUAUUUUGGUUUUGGCCCACAGUCAUGGCAUGUGGAAGCUCCCAGACCGGGGAUCAAACCUGCACCACAGCAGCAACCCAAGCCAUUGCAGUGACAACACCAGAUCCUUAACCUGACCUGGCACCAGGGAACUCUGCCACUGUCAUUUUAGAGCCCAGGUUUACAUGGCCCUGAUCACAGGCUCUCAUCUAGAUCACUUCUCCGAAAGUGGCCCAUCUGCCCCACAACUGGGGUGCAGACACUCGGUACAGCCUCUUCGCAGGGGUUUCACCUUAGGUGCUGUUAACACUUAGGGCUGGAUAAUUCUUGGUGGCUGACAGCUGUCCCGGGAACUGCAGGGUGAUUAGCAGCAUCCUCGGCCUUAAGCCCCAGAUGCCAGGGGCAUCCCACCUUGUGACAACCCCGAUGUCUCCAGACAUUACCACAUGUCAGCUGGGAGGCAACCUUACCCCUGGUUGGGAACCACUGGCUUAAAGGGAGAUGUUUUUCCCACCCUCUCAGCCCAGAGAGGCUGCUCCCCAGUCAUCCUGCGGUUCGCCGUCUGGGGAGAUUACAUUGUCCACUCUCAUGCAAUGACGCGUCCCUUCUCAGACGCCACUUCCCGGGGGCUGGAGGAAACGCCCAGCCACCUUUAUCACUGCCAAGGAACAUGGGGGCCCACAAGAGGACACAGGGUGCAGUCUGUUCGGCCCAGGGCGCCGUUGCUUUGGGAAAACUCUCCGGAAGCUCCGUCUGAAACCUCUGCCUCAAAACCACGUCGUCCAGGAGGGCAUUCCGGAGGCUCAUUUUUAACAGGCAGGAGAAAGCAGCACAACGGAAGGCACACUCCGUACCCAAGGCAUUGAACAAUUAUAGAGGAUGAAGCGUUUCUCUGGAACUACCCUUCCUCACACCCAAGCAGCUGAUGGAUGGAGCUGCAUACACACGGCAAAACGUUAACGGCGGUCAUCUCCACAGGGGGACAUUGACCCUUACCCAAGGGUCGUUUCCGUGAAAUAAAAUGCACCCAUUUGAAAAGAAC
ensembl:lncRNA